rnacentral:rRNA from 1 species
GAUGAACGCUGGCGGCGUGCCUAAUACAUGCAAGUCGAGCGAAUGGAUUAAGAGCUUGCUCUUAUGAAGUUAGCGGCGGACGGGUGAGUAACACGUGGGUAACCUGCCCAUAAGACUGGGAUAACUCCGGGAAACCGGGGCUAAUACUGGAUAACAUUUUGAACUGCAUGGUUCGAAAUUGAAAGGCGGCUUCGGCUGUCACUUAUGGAUGGACCCGCGUCGCAUUAGCUAGUUGGUGAGGUAACGGCUCACCAAGGCAACGAUGCGUAGCCGACCUGAGAGGGUGAUCGGCCACACUGGGACUGAGACACGGCCCAGACUCCUACGGGAGGCAGCAGUAGGGAAUCUUCCGCAAUGGACGAAAGUCUGACGGAGCAACGCCGCGUGAGUGAUGAAGGCUUUCGGGUCGUAAACUCUGUUGUUAGGGAAGAACAAGUGCUAGUUGAAUAAGCUGGCACCUUGACGGUACCUAACCAGAAAGUCACGGCUAACUACGUGCC